rnacentral:rRNA from 1 species
CCUACGGGAGGCUGCAGUGGGGGAUAUUGCACAAUGGGGGAAACCCUGAUGCAGCGACGCCGCGUGGGUGAAGAAGCGCCUCGGCGCGUAAAGCCCUGUCAGCAGGGAAGAAAAUGACGGUACCUGAAGAAGAAGCCCCGGCUAAAUACGUGCCAGCAGCCGCGGUAAUACGUAGGGGGCAAGCGUUAUCCGGAUUUAAUGGGUGUAAAGGGGGCGCAGACGGCGAUGCAAGCCAGGAGUGAAAGCCCGGGGCCCAACCCCGGGACGGCUCUUGGAACUGCGGGGCUAGAGUGCAGGAGGGGCAGGCGGAAUGCCUGGUGUAGCGGUGAAAUGCGGAGAUAUAAGGAGGAACACCGGUGGCGAAGGCGGCCUGCUGGACUGAAACUGACGUUGAGGCCCGAAAGCGUGGGGAGCAAACAGGAUUAGAUACCCUAGUAGUC